rnacentral:misc_RNA from 1 species
GAAAGGGAUAAUAUGUAUGUGGGUAUAAAUGCUAAUUGUUCUUCUCCAAGUUAUGUUUUGAUCCUGGUUAAUGUUUGGGGUUUGAAGUACAAAAGCAAUUUGGUUGAUGUGUCAGCAUAACUUUGUUCAAUGCUGGUGGAGAAGUUCUUUAGCUCUCCUUUCCUCUUUUCCCCUUGCCGUGCUUCUGGUUGCCUAUAAUUUUGAACUUUGACGCACAACCUGACAUUGUUUUUUAACUUAGUUAAAUCUGCUCUCUAUAAGUG